rnacentral:rRNA from 1 species
GACGAACGCUGGCGGCGUGCUUAACACAUGCAAGUCGAGCGGUAAGGCCUUUCGGGGUACACGAGCGGCGAACGGGUGAGUGACACGUGGGUGAUCUGCCCUGCACUUCGGGAUAAGCCUGGGAAACUGGGUCUAAUACCGGAUAUGACCUCCUAUCGCAUGAUGGGUGGUGGAAAGAUUUAUCGGUGCAGGAUGGGCCCGCGGCCUAUCAGCUUGUUGGUGGGGUAAUGGCCUACCAAGGCGACGACGGGUAGCCGACCUGAGAGGGUGACCGGCCACACUGGGACUGAGACACGGCCCAGACUCCUACGGGAGGCAGCAGUGGGGAAUAUUGCACAAUGGGCGAAAGCCUGAUGCAGCGACGCCGCGUGAGGGAUGACGGCCUUCGGGUUGUAAACCUCUUUCAGCAGGGACGAAGCGAAAGUGACGGUACCUGCAGAAGAAGCACCGGCUAACUACGUG